rnacentral:rRNA from 1 species
UAACACAUGCAAGUCGAGCGGGCCCUUCGGGGUCAGCGGCGGACGGGUGAGUAACGCGUGGGAACGUGCCUUCUGGUUCGGAAUAACCCUGGGAAACUAGGGCUAAUACCGGAUACGCCCUUUUGGGGAAAGGUUUACUGCCGGAAGAUCGGCCCGCGUCUGAUUAGCUAGUUGGUGGGGUAACGGCCUACCAAGGCGACGAUCAGUAGCUGGUCUGAGAGGAUGAUCAGCCACACUGGGACUGAGACACGGCCCAGACUCCUACGGGAGGCAGCAGUGGGGAAUAUUGGACAGUGGGCGCAAGCCUGAUCCAGCCAUGCCGCGUGAGUGAUGAAGGCCUUAGGGUUGUAAAGCUCUUUUAUCCGGGACGAUAAUGACGGUACCGGAGGAAUAAGCCCCGGCUAACUUCGUGCCAGCAGCCGCGGUAAUACGAAGGGGGCUAGCGUUGCUCGGAAUCACUGGGCGUAAAGGGCGCGUAGGCGGCGUUUUAAGUCGGGGGUGAAAGCCUGUGGCUCAACCACAGAAUGGCCUUCGAUACUGGGACGCUUGAGUAUGGUAGAGGUUGGUGGAACUGCGAGUGUAGAGGUGAAAUUCGUAGAUAUUCGCAAGAACA